rnacentral:rRNA from 1 species
UUAUACACGGGAGUCAGACUGCGAGUGAUAAGAUCCGUAGUCAAAAGGGAAACAGCCCAGACCACCAGCUAAGGUCCCAAAGUAAUUGUUAAGUGGAAAAGGAUGUGGCGUUGCUUAGACAACCAGGAUGUUGGCUUAGAAGCAGCCACUCAUUUAAAGAGUGCGUAAUAGCUCACUGGUCGAGUGACACUGCGCCGAAAAUGUAUCGGGGCUAAACAAUUCACCGAAGCUGUGGAUGUACAUCGUAUGAUGUACGUGGUAGGAGAGCGUUCUAAUCGCUGUGAAGUCAGAUCGUAAGGACUGGUGGAGCGUUUAGAAGUGAGAAUGCCGGUAUGAGUAGCGAAAGAUGAGUGAGAAUCUCAUCCACCGAAUGACUAAGGUUUCCUGAGGAAGGCUCGUCCGCUCAGGGUUAGUCGGGACCUAAGCCGAGGCCGAUAGGCGUAGGCGAUGGACAACAGGUUGAUAUUCCUGUACCGCCAAUAAGCGUUUGAGAGAUGGAGUGACACAGUAGGAUAAGCUAACCGUACUGUUGGUUAUGUACGGCUAAGCAUUGAGGCAGUCUAAAUAGGCAAAUCCGUUUAGACAAUGCUAGGAUGUGAUGGGGAAGCCCUUCGGGGCGAAGUAGCUGAUUUCACACUGUCAAGAAAAGCUUCUAUCGAGUUUAAAGGCGCCCGUACCGUAAACCGACACAGGUGGGUGAGGAGAGUAUCCUAAGGCCAGCGAGAGAACUAUUGUUAAGGAACUCGGCAAAAUGACCCCGUAACUUAGGGAGAAGGGGUGCCUGUCUAUGACAGGCCGCAGAGAAUAGGCCCAAGCGACUGUUUACCAAAAACACAGGUCUAUGCAAAACCGAAAGGUGAGGUAUAUGGGCUGACGCCUGCCCGGUGCUGGAAGGUUAAGGGGAUCUGUUAGAGCAAUCGAAGCAGUGAACUUAAGCCCCAGUAAACGGCGGCCGUAACUAUAACGGUCCUAAGGUAGCGAAAUUCCUUGUCGGGUAAGUUCCGACCCGCACGAAAGGCGUAACGAUUUGGGCACUGUCUCAACAAUAGACUCGGUGAAAUUGUAAUCCCGGUGAAGAUGCCGGGUACCUGCGACAGGACGGAAAGACCCCCUGG